CAGUCGCCGCGGUAUUACAGAGGGUGCGAGCGUUAAUCGGAUUUACUGGGCGUAAAGCGUGCGUAGGCGGCUUCUUAAGUCGGAUGUGAAAUCCCUGAGCUUAACUUAGGAAUUGCAUUCGAUACUGGGAAGCUAGAGUAUGGGAGAGGAUGGUAGAAUUCCAGGUGUAGCGGUGAAAUGCGUAGAGAUCUGGAGGAAUACCGAUGGCGAAGGCAGCCAUCUGGCCUAAUACUGACGCUGAGGUACGAAAGCAUGGGGAGCAAACAGGAUUAGAUACCCCAGUAGUCCCUGUCUCUUAUAA
rnacentral:rRNA from 1 species